UACGGCGGAACACGAGAAAUUCCGUCGGAAUCCGCGGGGACCAUCCCGCAAGGCUAAAUACUCCCUAGUGACCGAUAGUGAACCAGUACCGUGAGGGAAAGGUGAAAAGCACCCCGGAAGGGGAGUGAAAUAGAUCCUGAAACCGUGUGCCUACAACAAGUCAAAGCUCGUUAAUGAGUGAUGGCGUGCCUUUUGUAGAAUGAACCGGCGAGUUACGAUUGCAUGCGAGGUUAAGUCGAAGAGACGGAGCCGCAGCGAAAGCGAGUCUGAAUAGGGCGAAUGAGUAUGUAGUCGUAGACCCGAAACCAUGUGAUCUACCCAUGUCCAGGUUGAAGGUGCGGUAAAACGCACUGGAGGACCGAACCCACGUACGUUGAAAAGUGCGGGGAUGAGGUGUGGGUAGCGGAGAAAUUCCAAACGAACUUGGAGAUAGCUGGUUCUCUCCGAAAUAGCUUUAGGGCUAGCCUCGGAAUUGAGAAUGAUGGAGGUAGAGCACUGUUUGGACUAGGGGCCCAUCUCGGGUUACCGAAUUCAGAUAAACUCCGAAUGCCAUUCAUUUAUAUCCGGGAGUCAGACUGCGAGUGAUAAGAUCCGUAGUCGAAAGGGAAACAGCCCAGACCACCAGCUAAGGUCCCAAAAUAUAUGUUAAGUGGAAAAGGAUGUGGGGUUGCACAGACAACUAGGAUGUUGGCUUAGAAGCAGCCACCAUUUAAAGAGUGCGUAAUAGCUCACUAGUCGAGUGACCCUGCGCCGAAAAUGUACCGGGGCUAAACAUAUUACCGAAGCUGUGGACUACACCAUUAGGUGUAGUGGUAGGAGAGCGUUCUAAGGGCGUUGA
rnacentral:rRNA from 1 species